AUCAUGACCUUAGCAAGUGCUUAUCUUCUGGUGCUGUGGCUGGCAAAACACAGAAUGUGUUUGAUGGCAAGAAGAUUUACUUCUAAGAGAAGCAAACCGGGCUUAGAAGUUUUCACCAUCAAAACCCUAUUUCUGGAAAUUGACACCUUAAGAAUGUUGAGCCUUCUAUACUACGACUAUAGUACAUCCUUCUGAGACAGGAGAUGAGGUCAUAACCAGCCAGCUGGGCAAGUGGACACUACCCAUCAGUCACAGAGAUCAGAACACAUGCACAGAAAAACAAUUCCAAGCCCUUCACCUGAGAUCAAUCAGAAAAUAUUAUCUUCAAUUCUUCUGGCCCAAGAUUAAACAGGGUUUUGAUAGGACAGCCUAGAUCUGACAUCAGCCUGAGAAAUGGGAGGAUAUAAAAUAUGGC
rnacentral:lncRNA from 1 species